CACACACAUUACUUUAGUCUAAAGAAGCUGGCAAAAUUGCACUGUAGAAAUGAACAGUGUUUUGCACCACAUUUCAGUUUAUUUACAAGAUUGCCACUGCCUCUUCAGUUUCAGAUUGAAAAUUUCAAUUUAUUUACGAAAUUGCCACCCUUCAGCGUGUACGUGUCGACCAUCGUAGAAAGGGUGGGGGAUGGAAGCAAACCCGAUGUUGUUCCAGAGAUCUCUUCGACGACAAGCCCAUUUUGCUCCAGAGCUCUUCAACGACAAAGUCAAUUCAGCGCCUCACCGUCGCACACCUCGCCUUCCCCUCGCCUUCGCACACCUCGCCUUACCUCGCCGCCGCACUCCUUACCAGAACUCGAAUCAAUGGGAGAGAGGCGUGGGAUGGCAGGGAGGGGAAGGGAGAGGGAGGAGUGAGGCUGCCAAAAAGGGGGUUAGGGUUGAUUUUUUAUCCCCAAAUCAAUUGUUGUUGUCGGUGAUUGAACGAGCAUUGGUUAGAGGGGAACUUUCAUUUCCUUUGUUUCUGAACCAGAAUGGGGUCGAUGGGACCAUGCUCUGUUGCACGUUCAGAUGAGUGAUUUGAGGGAUUUGAUUUCAGGGAUUGGUAAUCCCAUCCCGUGUUUUCCCCUCAUCUCUGUCACACUCAACCUCUCUCUAAUCCUUUAUGUUUCUCUCUCUUUUAGACUCUUCCUUUCUCUCAAUUGUCCAUCGCUCUCAACUUUAGUGCUAACCCUAAUUUGUUCUUUCAUUCCUUAAUUUUCUCCAUCCGAGCAAUGAAAAAUCGAACUGGGUUUUCAGAUUAUUGAUGCUUCACGGACAGAGAAUGGAGAGAGUUGAUUAAGGGAGUUGGUGAGUAUGGGCUUGCACAGAGGGAAAAACGCAGAAAGAGAGAGAGAGAGAGAGGGAGAGGGAGGGAACGAUUGCACAGAGACAAGGAGAGAGACAGAGAGAGAUCGCAGAAAGAGGAGGAUGACAAAAAUUGAGGAGGAACCCGUGUCUGCAGAGAAUGAGACAAAAAACUACCAAGGAAGGAGGAGACUGCCAGGAAUGUAAAACCCAGGCAGGAGAAGACAAGCAAUGGCGGAGGAACCAAGGCUGUAGAUCUUUGAUAAAAGGGAUUUGCAUAUUGCUAAAAGAGAGGAAGACAUUGGCUAUUGUGCUGGAUAUGUAGCUGAGUUGAUGAUUGUCGCUACUUACCUUUUGUAUUCUUCACCGUUUUGUUCCUUAACAAGUGUCUUUCUUUGAAGGGGCUUCAUAGAUGCUUGGCAGAGUCCUGACAUCAAUUUUUUAGGGAAUGGUGGCUGAUAUUGACUCAGAUGAAGCCCCUAUUUAUAUAUCCUGAUCAUUUUUAUGAUCUAUCUUUUCUGACUUGGAUGAUAUUGAUCAAAUGAAUGAGUUAGAAACUGAAAGUUACAUUUGUUCCAUCAAUAUGUUGAUCAAAUGGAUGAGUUAGAAGCUGAAAAUUACAUUUGUUUCUUGCUACUUUUUAUACUGAACAGAUUUUGUGUAUGUAUAGUGCUUUAUUUUCAAGGUUAUUUCUCUCAACACCAUGUGAAUGUACAAAUAGUUCUUUCCCAAUUCAACCAAUUUAAAAAUUGGGAUUUUAACUGAUGUUCGUCCAUGGUUCCUUACUUUCCAGAUAUUGAAACAUGCAUAAAUUCACCUGGAAAUUAUUCAUGUCAAUGUCCCAAAGGAUACAAACAUGAAGGCAUGGAUGAAAAGAGUUGUAUCAAAGACAACAAAUGAUCCAGCAAAAGCAUACACAUCAAACCCCUCAUUCACACAACAGCCACCAAAGAGACCAUUACUGAGCUCAACCACCUGCAAGUUUUUGAGAAACAAAGAGCCUCAUCCACAGGAAUCUGUAAUUCAUAGCAGCAGGGCUGGAUGAAAAGAAACACCAGUCAGAGCUUUCAACAACUCGAAGGGAGUACAUACUUUGUAUGCCAUGGAUAGGGAAUGGAUACGUAAUUGGAUCAAUUGAUGGGUGCCGCUGUUUUGGAUAUCUACAUCCAGCAAUACCUGCUCAACCACCUGCAAGUUUUUGAGAAACAAAGAGCCUCAUCCACAGGAAUCUAUAAUUCAUAGCAGCAGGAACCCUGAUUCUGGGAGGAAGAAUACACUGCAUUGCCAUCUUUAGGUAUAUGUGAAUGGCUCACAGAGUUUUUCUGAAUCUGUAGAUCCAGUGGGCCCUCAUGACACUGUUAUAUCCAAACCAAAGUUUGGCGAAUUUGAUAUAUGUUGGAUACAAUGGCAGUUCUGCUUCAGCUAUCCAUGUUACUAGAAGAUCAGAAGAUCAUAAAAGGCAAAAAACAGAAAGAAAUGUUAGCUGCUUCGUUUUUUGUCCUAAAAAUGCAGAAAAAUCCCCUCUUUUAAAUUCAUUCAUAGGAAGGCCUUUCUUAAAGAGCGAGACUAUACCUACUGGUGAGCGUUAUGCAGUGAAUGUCAUUAACCAGAUUGGGGACUUCAUUAAUCGUUUAGAAGCGCAGCCAACGAUGUGAGAGCAGAAGGGGAGCAAGCAUGUGAGUGCGGAAGACUUAGCUGCUUAAACAAGAACGACUGCUGCAGGGCGUUCUACAUGUUUUUGGCUUUCAACAUUUUUGCUUCGAGACUUUGCUGCUUGAACAAGAACGAAACACCAUCUUAACUGCAAGGCAAAAUACGUGUGGACUGAAUGUUACUUCCGUUUCUUACUGAAACAGGCGUCUUGCAUGUUUUUUGCUUUGCACGUUUGUGCUUGAAAACUUUGAUGCUAGAAUAAGAACGAAACAGUUUUUAUGUUGCCUAACCUAUAGGAUAUAUAUUUUGCCACAUUGACUACAGGGGCAAGAUUUGUGUGAACUGUAUGUUACUUCUGUUUAUUAGGGAACCAAAACGUUCAGUUUCGUCCUGUUCAUUAUACAAUGUCUUUUCAUGUCAACUCAGUUGAAUGUAUAUAAAAACGAAGCUGCAUAUCGUACUGACCUCA